UACGUAGGGUGCGAGCGUUGUCCGGAAUUAUUGGGCGUAAAGGGCCCGUAGGCGGUCUGUCGCGUCGGGAGUGAAAACUUGGGGCUCAACCCCAAGCCUGCGGUCGAUACGGGCAGGCUCGAGUUCGGUAGGGGAGACUGGAAUUCCUGGUGUAGCGGUGAAAUGCGCAGAUAUCAGGAGGAACACCGGUGGCGAAGGCGGGUCUCUGGGCCGAUACUGACGCUGAGGAGCGAAAGCGUGGGGAGCGAACAGG
rnacentral:rRNA from 1 species